GUCCCUGUAGCACAAUGGAUAGCGCCUUGAAUUUCUAAUCCAAAGGUUGUGGGUUUGUAUCCCACCUGGGAUG
rnacentral:tRNA from 1 species